UACGUAGGGUGCGAGCGUUGUCCGGAAUUAUUGGGCGUAAAGGGCUCGUAGGCGGUUUGUCGCGUCGGGAGUGAAACUCAGGGCUUAACCCUGAGCCUGCUUCCGAUACGGGCAGACUAGAGGUAUGCAGGGAGAAUGGAAUUCCUGGUGUAGCGGUGAAUGCGCAGAUAUCAGGAGGAACACCGGUGGCGAAGGCGGUUCUCUGGCAUUACCUGACGCUGAGGUGCGAAGCGUGGAGCAACAGG
rnacentral:rRNA from 1 species